rnacentral:rRNA from 1 species
UACGUAGGGACCAAGCGUUGUUCGGAUUUACUGGGCGUAAAGGGCGCGUAGGCGGCGUGGUAAGUCAGCUGUGAAAUCUCCGAGCUUAACUCGGAACGGUCAGCUGAUACUGCUGUGCUAGAGUACAGAAAGGGCAAUCGGAAUUCUUGGUGUAGCGGUGAAAUGCGUAGAGAUCGGCAGGAACACCCAGGGGGAAACCAGUGGACUGGCACGGUGCUGACGCUCAGGUGCGAAAGCGUGGGGAGCGAACCGG